GGAAAAGGCAGUCGCCAAGCCAGGCCUUGCAACCCUAUCCAGCCCUCUUCCUCUUCCUUCCCGUCAGUUCCUCCUCCCAAUCCCCUCGCUAGAUCCCUCCCCAAUCCAGCCCAAUCCCCUCGCGUUCUCCUUCUUCCUCUCUUGCAUCAGCGGCAGGUGAGCAUGUGUGGUGGCAGGCACGUGGCGGGCUGCUGACCAAGCCAGGGCCAGCAAGCGUCGGUGGAAAGGAGCCAUGGCGGGACAGGUUUGUGCGAUUCUCCUCCCCAAAUCGCCCUUGUUCCUCGCCCAGAGCUCGAACGAGCGCGAGAGGAGGAGGCCGCCUCACUGCGCAAGCAGCAGCAGCACGCCGUGGUUGUCUGUCGGCUGACGCGCGAGAGAGCGGAGGCGGCCUAGGUAGGAAGAUCUGGUGGAGGAGGUGGAGUGGCAGCGGUAGGAAGAGGUGGCCUGAAAGAUCUCCUCCUCGAAUCCCCUCUCCAGUAUCCCGUGAAGGCUGUCCUCGACCAACACGACUCUGGCAAGGAUGUUUAUGUAUCUAUUGCAUAAAAGGUGUUUGAGGAAAAUCCAAAUAGGUUGCAGACAUGCCCAAUGAGUCGGAGCACCCUACAGGUUUCAAUGCGUUUGUUAGUUUGAAAAUAUCGUGAGGACACUUGGUUCUGUUGCCUACUUAUUAUAGGGUCUCUAAUUAAAGUGUUAAUUAGAGGCAUGCCCAAUUUUAUUUUAUUUUAUUUUAAAGGCUGGAUGUCGGCUGGCCUUCUUGCAUUCACUAUAUCCCUACUUAUUUUUUGAGUAUCAUGUCAUAUUGCCAUAUUGAUGAUGUGUACCAUAGCGCAUUAUUAACUGAUUACCAAUGCAAAAGGUUUUCUUUAUUGUUCUCUCGGAUUACUACAUAAUGUUUUACCAAACGGUUAUCAGUGCAAAAGAUGGGGCCUGCGCAUCAAGGCGCGCUUUGUAUGCUAUGUUUUCUACUUUUAUUUGCAAGCAAUCACUAAUGAGACGUAUGCGUAAAUUACUAGGAAAGUAAUAUGUGUUAAAUUAUUUGAGGUACCCAUCGUACAAUAUUUCUCUGAUUAGAAGACGCACAUUUUUCUUAGCAAUUUGAGAUGCGUUAGCUUUUCAAAUCAGUGUCAUGCUGAUCAAGAGCGGGCUUGUUCUAUUGAUCAGUUGCAGGGCCAGCAGGUUGUUUAAGAUUCUAGCAAAUUUAAUAUCAAGACCUGCUGUUUGUGUGUGCGGAAUUUCCGGUGAAAGAAGCAUGGUUUUGUCCGAGCUUGACACUCAUUCGAUCUUUAUAUAUGGUAUAGAUCCCUUUGUUGAGAAACUGCAUUGAUUUCUUUCUUUAUAUAUCUUGUGUUACUUCACAAAGAAAAUAAAGACAAUACCAGAUUGUUGCGAUGCUUAAUAUGUAGGAAAAUUUGGCUCAUGGAAUAUUUAUUGGAAAUAUUUCUAUGGGUUAUAUCAGUUCAGAUUUGCCUUUUCAUGUGAUUGCUGAUGGCUGCUAGACUUAUGUGGAAAAAGAAUGUUGCACAGAACCUUGAUGACAUGAUAACCAACUCUAUUAUUCAGAAUGGUAGAAGAUCUUCCUUAUAUGAUAUUGAAGUGGUAAAAACCUUUAGUUCUUUCAUUUCGAGUUGCAUGUGAUUUUCUACUUUUGACAAUGUGACCUAAUAUAUAUUUUCUUCAUGUAUGCACAUAUUAUUUAUUUGCUUAAGAUAUUGUCUUAGAUGGCCAGUACUUGAAACAUAAGAAAUUUGUCUCGUGUCUCUUCAACACGCAUCAACUAAUUUUUUUAAACUAUUUGCAGCUCUAUAUAUAUACAUAUGUCACGGUUUAUCCUUCUCGUGUUUAGUCUGCAUUGCUCAUCAAUUUAUAACCGUAUAGGUUGGACAUUCAAUUCAGUCAAGUCUAUUGAUGCUUUCUUGCUACGGUACUGACACUGCCAAACAAUUUCCUCUAUUGUAGUGUAUUCAUGCUUUCUUGAUGUGGUACUAUCGCAGCCGAAACAAUGGCGAGUGGCCUAUACCCUGUGUUAUAUGGACAAACUUACAUUGAAGGUUCGACAUUCAAUUCAGUCAAGUCUAUUGGUGCUUUCUCACUACGGUAGACAGUGCCAAACAGUUUUCUCUAUUGUUGUGUAUUGGUGCUUUCUUGAUGUGGUACUAUCGCAACCGAAACAAUGGCGAGUGGCCUAUACCCUAUGUUAUAUGGACAAACUUACAUUGAAGAUAUACUAUCCAAAUAUGUACGAGUUUCCUUGCUUUGGUUGUAGAUAUUUGUGUGCCUAAGAUUUACCGAAGAUAAAUUAUACAUGAUUUUUCUAUGAGAUGAGGAAGCUUAGGAGCUCACGGUAAUGAGGUAUUAUAUAUCUCCCCAAAGGAUAUUUUUAUUAUUCAUUUAUGAGGUUUCAAGACUUGCUCUGGCAUUUUAUUUAUAAUCUUAUUGUUACUAGAGUCAGUUUGUCUAAUAAGAUCUAUGAACACAAUUUUAUCAUUAGAAGAUUGCUUGAAUGAUUCAUGGAAAUUAUAACUUAGGGGAUCUGAAAGAAUGUUUCACAUGAAAACCCAAAUAUGGCAUGUUCUAAUCUUGCCUGAUGGUCGAGAUCCUAUAGAGAACAUCAGCAGAGUGAGGGGUAGAGAGAAAUCUGUUGAAAUUUUCACACAAAAUAUUGAAAAUGAACUUUAGCAGCAGCUUCCCUGGUAUAUGUAUUCAUUUGUUUCUUUUUGUAUCCGUUUCCCAUAUUUUUUACUUCCCCUUGCUGCUAGGAUAUUUUAUAAAACAUGAAUUGUUGAUUUAGGUCCAAGAAAAGAGAACACCGUUGGACACCACAAAGUGCAUUCAUGGUGGCUACCCUUCAGGAUAAGAUUCAUGGUUUAUAGAUCAUGGGUCGUAUGAUAUAAAAGUCAAUCUUGGUAUUUGUCAACGUGAAGUUAUGUGUUGUCAUGUGAGUUAGAGGUGGUUCUGAGGACUUGAGAGUAGCUGUAGUAGUGUCAUGUUUAUUCAUAUUUGUUAUGGUAAGCCAAAAACUAUGGCUGAUUUGCAUUUUGAGUGUACGCACUGUGUAUAAGGUUGUUUGUUGUGGCAUUAAGCUAUAGAAUGGAGCAUCACGGAAGCUUCCCUCGUGGCAGCAACAAUGCAGCAGCCUGGCUCAUCCCACCAAUGAAUACCAACAUGGACCUACAUGUUUUAAACUUAUGAUUUUUAUCUAGCAUCCACCAGUUUAGGAGACAAAUAGAUAAUGCUCUGCUUUUAGUAGGUUUGUGUGCCUUUUACCUUUUAUUGGGUUCGAACAGAAGUUGUUUAUUGGUGCUUGUUGCUUUGUUUCUUAAGACCUCAUGUGCAGAUUUAUUUGUACUCCCUUUUGGGGUUCUGGAGAACGAAGAGGUAUCGGCUCUACCCCUCUUCGUAACAACAUGUUGAAUGAUUUAGUAAAAACUCGGCACCCCAAGUUGUUUAUUGGUGCUUGUUGCUUUGUUUCUUAAGACCUCAUGUGCAGAUUUAUUUGUACUCCCUUUUGGGGUUCUGGAGAAUGAAGAGAUUGGGUUGGUCUGACCGUCUGAGCUAUUUUCCUAUUUGGUUGGAUGAUGAUCACAAUCACAUGAGCUUUUCUCUGAGCUGAGAAGAAAAUGAUGUAAAACUGUCUGUCCAGGUUUGGGCCGUUGGGACCAAUUCAUCAACUCCUUGGGGCUGUUGAACAUGAAUAUGAAAAAUAAAAGCUAACUGAGAGGGUAGCCAGGCUAUCUGGUGGUGUUGCUAUUAUUCAGGUUGGAACACGAACUGAAACUGAGCUUAGGGAAAAUAAAGUGAGGGUUGAAGACUCACCGAAUGCAACAUAGGUAAUGUUUUCUUCUAGGUCAGGUUGUUGGUAAAUUGACAAGCAUCAGGCUGCAUAUUCAGCGAACAUGCGUGUGGUCGGAGAAUCAAGGAGCUUAUCUACAUGCGAGUGUAGAACUGGUCCAAGGAUCAAUUCAUUUUUUUCCUUCAUAUACAAAUCUUUGAAAGCCCGUGUGCCGUUAGUUCUGUAGUAGCACAUGUGUUGUUUAUUCUUCUGUAAAAUAAACAGUAGUUGUGAUAUGUCGGCACCCUUCUGUUUGUAUUCGGGUACAUCCCGAUAUAGAUGACAGGAUUCACUGAUGCAACUUUUGUAACUUUAGUUUUCCAUUUGUCUUAAUUAAUGUCUGCACAAGAA